UACGAAGGGGGCUAGCGUUGCUCGGAUUGACUGGGCGUAAAGGGCGCGUAGGCGGUUCGUACAGUCAGACGUGAAAUUCCUGGGCUCAACCUGGGGGCUGCGUUUGAUACGUGCGGACUUGAGUGCGGAAGAGGGUCGUGGAAUUCCCAGUGUAGAGGUGAAAUUCGUAGAUAUUGGGAAGAACACCGGUGGCGAAGGCGGCCAACUGGACCAUUACUGACGCUGAGGCGCGAAAGCGUGGGGAGCAAACAGG
rnacentral:rRNA from 1 species